CACGUAGGGGGCGAGCGUUGUCCGGAUUUAUUGGGCGUAAAGAGCUCGUAGGCGGUUUCGUAAGUCGGAUGUGAAAACUCCAGGCUCAACUUGGAGACGCCAUUCGAUACUGCGAUGACUUGAGUCCGGUAGGGGAGUGUGGAAUUCCUGGUGUAGCGGUGAAAUGCGUAGAUAUCGGGAAGAACACCGGUGGCGAAGGCGGCUCGCUGGGCUGUUGCUGACGCUGAGGCGCGAAAGCGUGGGGAGCAAACAGGG
rnacentral:rRNA from 1 species